rnacentral:tRNA from 1 species
GGGGUUGUGGCUCAGUGGUAGAAGUGCUUACCUUGCAUGCAUGAGCCAAUGUGUUCGAUACCCGGCACCA